rnacentral:rRNA from 1 species
UACGGAGGGUGCGAGCGUUGGUCCGGAAUCAUUGGGCGUAAAGCGCGUGUAGGCGGUCCGGUAAGUCCGCUGUGAAAGUCGAGGGCUCAACCCUCGAAUGCCGGUGGAUACUGUCGGGCUUGAGUACGGGAGAGGCGAGUGGAAUUCCUGGUGUAGCGGUGAAAUGCGCAGAUAUCAGGAAGAACACCAAUGGCGAAAGCAGCUUCUGGGACGGUACUGACGCUGAGACGCGAAAGCGUGGGGGAGCGAACAGG